CCUCAUUCUAGGUUAUGUUUAUAGCUUUCUUGCCCCGGGACUUUUUAAGGUGUGUGCAUACUCAGCCACUAUGUGCUCAAACCCUUUGCAUCCAAAACGUUGGACAUGAUUUUGGCUCUUUCCACAGAUGGUGUGGGAUUUCGCCUAGAGUUAUUGAAGAACUUCUUUUGAGGUGCCUUUAUUUUUGAGCUUCUUCAUUUCUAACUGUUUUUAUAUAUAAUUUCUUAAAUUGUUUAGUGAGCAUGGUCGUUUGGUUAUCAUUCUCACUUUUAUCAUCUUCUUACCUCCUUGGUUUUAAAGGUUAUUCUCGAUUAUUUUUCCUUCUUCCUUUUGUGAAGAUGUAGCUCAUAGGUCAUAAAAGAUCCUACCAAUUUUUCCACUUUCAUGCUUCCCUUGUCUUUCCUUUCCUCGAUAGUGGUUACCUUGAAGUGGAACCUAUCAGGUAGUGAUUUGAGAAAUUUUUUGACAAUUUUACUUUUCUGAGUAUUUCUUUCCCAAAGUGUAGGUCGAGUAAGUGAUGUCACUUCGUUUUGCAUAGAAUUUUUUAAAGUGCUCAUCAUCUCCCGUGGUUAAUUGCUCAAAUUUGAGUGUUAAUAUUCGGAGUUUAGAGGACUCCAGAAUUGAGGUUCCUUAAUGAGCAACUUGCAAUAUGUCCUAUGCCUUUUUAGCCAACUUGCAUGUUGAAAUCAAACGAAAUCGAUUAGCAUCAAUGAAUGACAAAAUAACAUUUAGAGCUUUAGAAUUCCAACCAAUAUUAUUAUAAUCAAUAGUCACCCAUUCAUCUGCUACUUUCUCUCUUUCUACAUCCUUUUCAAUUACGGUGAGAGUUUUAAAGCCAUACACGAUUGAGUGCCAUGCUUUCCCAUCUAAAGAUUGGACAUAGGCUUUCAUUCUUAUUUUUCAAUACGAAUAAUUAGUCCCAUCUAAGACAAGAGCUCUAACAAAGCACCGUCCUUUACAAGAUUUUAUGUAGUCUCAUUUUUUUUUUUUUAAAGUGAAAUCCCUCUUAUACUAAUUGUAAGUACUAAAACCUAGUUAAUUAAACAAUGUCUGAAUUAUUGUUUGCCAGAGUACGCCAGUCUGUUAGAACUUUCUACUGACAGUGCUACAUAUAGUUUUAAUUGGGAAGCUUAAUAGAUUUGUGUUCUACAAGAUAUAAUUUAUUGUAAAAUUAAAUAAAGAUGAACACCAAAUAUAACAUGGUAAACCCCUAAGGGAAACAUCCAUGAGCCCCCAUACCACAGGUAAAAUAAUCUACUAUCAAAGAAUAAAAAAUACAAUAUUUCAAUUUCAGAUUUUCGCAAAAUUUAACAAAAACAAUCAAAUCCUUGUUUUAUUUCUUCUUUUGGCAUGUUGGGAAAAUAGAAUCAAACCAUCCGAUAUUGACUUUAUCGUCAUUUCACUAUUGUAUUCGACCACAAACAUUACUUGAAUUAAGCUUUACCAAUUUUAACUUAUGCCAAGUAGCUUGAUCUUAAAGUAGAUUAUAUCAUUCACGCUUAGGUCCGUUAUCUUCAAUUGUGGUUGAAGAGCAUGAUUUUUACUUUGAGAUACUUCAAUGGAACAUGAGCCAAUAAGAACUCACUGAAGAUGGUACUUCAAAACUUGCUGCUGCAAGUUCACCAGAUAUAAACAGAUUUUUUUCAAAGCAUUAGUUCAUCCCUUAUUUGUUUUCUCCACUUAUGUAGAGACUCCUCCUAGGUACAAACAUGUCUUACCUAAAAUAUGGAAAUUUUGCAUGCUAAGAAUAAAAUAGAAUAUGUUUGAUAAUGUCAAUAAUUAAAUUAAGAAAAUGUUUAAUUUGUUAAAACAAUUUUUCCUUCUUUUAACUAUUUGACCAAUCAAACCAAUCCAAUAAGUGUGUGUGUGUGUGUAUUUGAUAUGGCCAAUGACUAAAUUAAGGAAAUUUUGAUUUUUUUAAAUCAAUCUUUCAUUCUUUUAAUUAUUUGAUCAAUCAAACCAGUUCAAGGUCGGCCUCUCUCCCUUUUCAUCUUAUCUUGAAAGGGAACGGUCUUCCGUGGUUGGUGUUAUGUUGCGGUAUCUUAUGGAAUGAGCUUAGCUCUUUCUCAACUCCCUCUCUUUUACUCUGCAUCUCCUCGAUAUCCUUGAUACAUCUCAUGUAAACUUAUGUGAGGUUUUGAUUUCUAGCCAAGCCAAUGCCUUCGAUCUUUGGUGGUGACAUAACUUUGCCAUGUCUAUUUUGUGGGAUAUUUGUUGUCAUCUACAAGCUUGAUAUGUUGAAGUUUAUUCAUUUUGGUAUGCUAAACAUCCACAUGGUCGUACUUUUACUAUUUUUCUUUGCUUAUAUCAAGUUAAUGUCUUAGUCAUUUCGAUUACAUAAAAAAAUCUAGCAAUAGUAGUUGAAAUGUAUUGUCAUUCGGGAUUAAGUUUUGUGCAAUACUUAAAUUCAAAUUUUACAUCAAGUUAAUUACUAGGGAAAAUUGCAACAGUGAUCCCUAACCUUUUCAUUUUUUACAAACUUUACCCUAACCUUCAUUUUGUGCCAGCGAAGGUUCCUAACCUUUCAUAAAUACACACUUGGGGUUCAUUCGGACGGAAACCGUCCAAAACAUCGUCAGUUGAUUGGCAAAAUUAAGGAAUCAACAUCCAAUAACACCGUCCAAAAAUGUAUCAACAUCCAAUAAAACCGUCGAGGUAGCAGAUAGUUCAAGGAAAUUUCUCGAUCAACUAACGGUGUUUUGGACAAUUUCCAUCUAGAUAGACCUCGGGUGCAUAUUUAUGAAAGGUUAAGGACCUUCGUCGGCACAAAAUGAAGGUUAAGGUAAAGUCUGCAAAAAAUGAAAAAGGUUAGGGACUGCUACUGCAAUUUUCCCUAAUUACUAUUGCUAUUAGGUACGGCACAUUGAAAAUCAGUGUUCAAAUCGUUAUUGAUCUACUCCCAUAGCCUACUCUGGGCAUGUUGAAUCUUGCAAGAUAAUUGAAUAUAUGUAGUAUCCAUUAAGAUCUGUAUUAUUAUAGGAAAAUAGAUUUGUGUAGAAAAUUUAAUGAGUUAGCUGAUACAGUUGAUUUUCUUAUCAAAUAAAGCUUAGUAUUGGAAUGUAUAUAAAUUCUUCUAUCUUGCAUAUUGAAAAUGACACAGGAAUUAUUCUGCAAUAUAUUGUUUAUAUUCAUAGUAUCUGAGUUAUGUCCUAGUAGCUCUUGCAACCUAUUACCUUUUGAUCAAACUACGUCAUGGCAGAAACCAUUAAUACAGAAACAUCAACAGAUACCGAUAAAUUGGAUCUCUAUUCUCUAUAUCACUCAGAUCAUUUGAGCAUUAUUCUUGUCUCCGAACUGCUUAAAGGAGACAACUACGGUAUAUGGAGUCGUGCUGUGCGAAUUGGUUUAAGUGCUAAAAAUGAAAUCGAAUUUGUAAUGGGUUUAUCAAAUCGCCUCCUUCGACAGAUGCAAGUUUCGUGUUAUGGCACAAUGAUAUGGUCUUGUCAUGGUUAUUAAGCUCUGUUAAUCAAGACUUAGCAAGUAGCGUCAUGUAUGUCGAAACUGCUGCAGAGGUUUAAGCUGAGCUACAAGAGCUUUUCUCUUAAGGAAAUGACUCAAGGAUUUAUCAAAUCAAGCGAGAAAUUGCAGAACAUAGAUAGGGACAAGAAUCUAUUUCUGUAUAGUACACCAAAUUUAAGGCAUUCUGGGAUGAGCUUUCAUCCUAUCAUGACUCUCUAACCAUGUGGUGACUUAACAAGAGAGAAGAGGAGGAGAAAAUCAUGCAAUUUCAUAUGGGAUUGAAUAAUAGCUAUUCCACAAUUCAUGGACAGAUCAUGCUGAUGCAGUCCCUACCCAACACAAGCCGUGUUUAUUCAUUCGUCCUUCAACAAGAAAAACAGGUUGAAGUUUCUAUCAAUCGUGGAAAUAUUAAUCAUCAUGCUAUGUUUGUAGAUCAGCAGAGUAAAGCAAAUCAAGCUCGGAGACACAAAUUAAGGAACACGUUACAUUGUUCAUACUGUGAUCAAGACUAUCACAACAUUGAGAAAUGUUAUUUUCUU
rnacentral:lncRNA from 1 species